UACGUAGGGUGCAAGCGUUGUCCGGAAUUAUUGGGCGUAAAGAGCUUGUAGGCGGUUUGUCGCGUCUGCUGUGAAAUUUCGGGGCUCAACCCCGAACUUGCAGUGGGUACGGGCAGACUAGAGUGUGGUAGGGGAGACUGGAAUUCCUGGUGUAGCGGUGAAAUGCGCAGAUAUCAGGAGGAACACCAUAGGCGAAGGCAGUCUCGCUGGAC
rnacentral:rRNA from 1 species